AGCAGUAGCCACGGGAAUACGUAGGUGGCAAGUGUUGUCCGGAAUUAUUGGGCGUAAAGGGCUCGCAGGCGGUUUCUUAAGUCUGAUGUGAAAGCCCCCGGCUCAACCGGGGAGGGUCAUUGGAAACUGGGAAACUUGAGUACAGAAGAGGAGAGUGGAAUUCCACGUGUAGCGGUGAAAUGCAUAGAGAUGUGGAGGAACACCAGUGGCGAAGGCGACUCUCUGGUCUGUAACUGACGCUGAGGAGCGAAAGCGUGGGGAGCGAACAGGAUUAGAUACCCCUGUAGUCCCUGUCUCUUAUAU
rnacentral:rRNA from 1 species